GACGAACGCUGGCGGCGUGCUUAACACAUGCAAGUCGAACGGAAAGGCCCUGCUUGCAGGGUGCUCGAGUGGCGAACGGGUGAGUAACACGUGGGUGAUCUGCCCCUUACUUUGGGAUAAGCCUGGGAAACUGGGUCUAAUACUGGAUAGGACCAUGCUGUAGGUGGUGUGGUGGAAAGAUUAGUUUCGGUAAGGGAUGAGCUCGCGGCCUAUCAGCUUGUUGGUGGGGUAAUGGCCUACCAAGGCGUCGACGGGUAGCCGGCCUGAGGGGGUGGACGGCCACAUUGGGACUGAGAUACGGCCCAGACUCCUACGGGAGGCAGCAGUGGGGAAUAUUGCACAAUGAGCGCAAGACUGAUGCAGCGACGCCGCGUGGGGGAUGACGGCCUUCGGGUUGUAAACUCCUUUCAGCCAUGACGAAGCCCUUGUGGUGACGGUAGUGGUAGAAGAAGCACCGGCUAACUACGUG
rnacentral:rRNA from 1 species